rnacentral:lncRNA from 1 species
CGCCGAACGGACAUCACCUCCCCUGUCCGCCCAAGGCUCAAUACAAAUACAAAUCAAGUAUAUAAAUUGCACAAGCGGAAAUAUACAUACAUGGCUUGCACGAGGGCAAGCAGUAGCCAAAAGUGAAAGAUUCUAAACUAAACAUCCAUACAUGUACUAUAAUUAACUUUUAACCACAUACAUGCAUUCAACUUUUAAAUUUUUUUACAUUCUUUUCAUCAAUUCUUUUAUAUUACAUGAUCUCCAAAAUAAGCUUUUACAUUUAACAUCUAUGAUCGUCAAAUACAAAAGAUAAUAUAAA